UAAGGAAUAUUGGUCAAUGGGCGGAAGCCUGAACCAGCCAUGCCGCGUGCAGGAUGACUGCCCUAUGGGUUGUAAACUGCUUUUGUCCAGGAAUAAACCUAGAUACGUGUAUCUAGCUGAAUGUACUGGAAGAAUAAGGAUCGGCUAACUCCGUGCCAGCAGCCGCGGUAAUACGGAGGAUCCGAGCGUUAUCCGGAUUUAUUGGGUUUAAAGGGUGCGUAGGCGGCCUAUUAAGUCAGGGGUGAAAUACGGUGGCUCAACCAUCGCAGUGCCUUUGAUACUGAUGGGCUUGAAUCCAUUUGAAGUGGGCGGAAUAAGACAAGUAGCGGUGAAAUGCAUAGAUAUGUCUUAGAACUCCGAUUGCGAAGGCAGCUCACUAAGCUGGUAUUGACGCUGAUGCACGAAAGCGUGGGGAUCGAACA
rnacentral:rRNA from 1 species